rnacentral:rRNA from 1 species
CCUACGGGUGGCUGCAGUGGGGAAUAUUGGACAAUGGGGGGAACCCUGAUCCAGCCAUGCCGCGUGUGUGAAGAAGGCCCUCGGGUUGUAAAGCACUUUCAGUGAGGAAGAACGCCUGGUGGUUAAUACCCAUCAGGAAAGACAUCACUCACAGAAGAAGCACCGUCUAACUCCGUGCCAGCAGCCGCGGUAAUACGGAGGGUGCGAGCGUUAAUCGGAAUUACUGGGCGUAAAGCGCGCGUAGGUGGCUUGAUAAGCCGGUUGUGAAAGCCCCGGGCUCAACCUGGGAACGACCUCCGGAACUGUCAAGCUAGAGUGCAGGAGAGGAAGGUAGAAGUGCCGGUGUAGCGGUGAAAUGCGUAGAGAUCGGGAGGAAUACCAGUGGCGAAGGCGGCCUUCUGGACUGACACUGACACUGAGGUGCGAAAGCGUGGGUAGCAAACAGGAUUAGAUACCCUUGUAGUC